GAUGAACGCUGGCGGCGUGCCUAAUACAUGCGAGUCGAGCGAACAGACGAGGAGCUUGCUCCUCUGACGUUAGCGGCGGACGGGUGAGUAACACGUGGAUAACCUACCUAUAAGACUGGGAUAACUUCGGGAAACCGGAGCUAAUACCGGAUCAUAUAUUGAACCGCAUGGUUCAAUAGUGAAAGACGGUUUUGCUGUCACUUAUAGAUGGAUCCGCGCCGCAUUAGCUAGUUGGUAAGGUAACGGCUUACCAAGGCAACGAUGCGUAGCCGACCUGAGAGGGUGAUCGGCCACACUGGAACUGAGACACGGUCCAGACUCCUACGGGAGGCAGCAGUAGGGAAUCUUCCGCAAUGGGCGAAAGCCUGACGGAGCAACGCCGCGUGAGUGAUGAAGGUCUUCGGAUCGUAAAACUCUGUUAUUAGGGAAGAACAAAUGUGUAAGUAACUAUGCACGUCUUGACGGUACCUAAUCAGAAAGCCACGGCUAACUACGUG
rnacentral:rRNA from 1 species